UUCGGGAUAGUUCAAUCUGGCAGAACGCCUGGCCCUGGACCAGGAGGUUGGAGGUUCGACCCCUUCUCCCGAAG
rnacentral:tRNA from 1 species